rnacentral:rRNA from 1 species
UUAAUCGGGGCAGGGUGAGUCGACCCCUAAGGCGAGGCCGAAAGGCGUAGUCGAUGGGAAACGGGUUAAUAUUCCCGUACUUGGUGUUACUGCGAAGGGGGGACGGAGAAGGCUAUGUUGGCCGGGCGACGGUUGUCCCGGUUUAAGCGUGUAGGUGUGUGUUCCAGGUAAAUCCGGUUCACUUUAACACUGAGGCGUGAUGACGAGGCACUACGGUGCUGAAGCAACAAAUGCCCUGCUUCCAGGAAAAGCCUCUAAGCAUCAGGUAACAUCAAAUCGUACCCCAAACCGACACAGGUGGUCAGGUAGAGAAUACCAAGGCGCUUGAGAGAACUCGGGUGAAGGAACUAGGCAAAAUGGUGCCGUAACUUCGGGAGAAGGCACGCUGACACGUAGGUGAAGUGAUUUACUCACGGAGCUGAAGUCAGUCGAAGAUACCAGCUGGCUGCAACUGUUUAUUAAAAACACAGCACUGUGCAAACACGAAAGUGGACGUAUACGGUGUGACGCCUGCCCGGUGCCGGAAGGUUAAUUGAUGGGGUCAGCGCAAGCGAAGCUCCUGAUCGAAGCCCCGGUAAACGGCGGCCGUAACUAUAACGGUCCUAAGGUAGCGAAAUUCCUUGUCGGGUAAGUUCCGACCUGCACGAAUGGCGUAAUGAUGGCCAGGCUGUCUCCACCCGAGACUCAGUGAAAUUGAACUCGCUGUGAAGAUGCAGUGUACCCGCGGCAAGACGGAAAGACCCCGUGAACCUUUACUAUAGCUUGACACUGAACAUUGAGCCUUGAUGUGUAGGAUAGGUGGGAGGCUUUGAAGUGUGGACGCCAGUCUGCAUGGAGCCGACCUUGAAAUACCACCCUUUAAUGUUUGAUGUUCUAACGUGGACCCGUAAUCCGGGUUGCGGACAGUGUCUGGUGGGUAGUUUGACUGGGGCGGUCUCCUCCUAAAGAGUAACGGAGGAGCACGAAGGUUGGCUAAUCCUGGUCGGACAUCAGGAGGUUAGUGCAAUGGCAUAAGCCAGCUUGACUGCGAGCGUGACGGCGCGAGCAGGUGCGAAAGCAGGUCAUAGUGAUCCGGUGGUUCUGAAUGGAAGGGCCAUCGCUCAACGGAUAAAAGGUACUCCGGGGAUAACAGGCUGAUACCGCCCAAGAGUUCAUAUCGACGGCGGUGUUUGGCACCUCGAUGUCGGCUCAUCACAUCCUGGGGCUGAAGUAGGUCCCAAGGGUAUGGCUGUUCGCCAUUUAAAGUGGUACGCGAGCUGGGUUUAGAACGUCGUGAGACAGUUCGGUCCCUAUCUGCCGUGGGCGCUGGAGAACUGAGGGGGGCUGCUCCUAGUACGAGAGGACCGGAGUGGACGCAUCACUGGUGUUCGGGUUGUCAUGCCAAUGGCACUGCCCGGUAGCUAAAUGCGGAAGAGAUAAGUGCUGAAAGCAUCUAAGCACGAAACUUGCCCCGA